rnacentral:rRNA from 1 species
GAAAUUUAACGGAUUUGGCGGCAAGAUAGCCCCUUAGAGGAACCUGCCCUGUAAACGAUGAACCACGAAUGACACAACUUUUCUUUGAAAUCAGUUUGUAUAUCGCUGUUGUCAGUUAGAUUCUUGAGAAUGUUUUCAUUUAUGAUAAAGUCAUUGACUUCAAGUAAAGGUGCAGCUUAUAGAAAAGGUAGAGGUGGGUUACAUUUAUGUGAAUAAAACGGAUAAGAUAAGAGAAAUAGUCUUUGAAGGUGGAUUUAACUGUAAAGCUUAAAGAAGCUUGGUGAGAGCUCUAUCUUGUGUACACACCGCCCGUC